rnacentral:rRNA from 1 species
UACGUAGGGUCCGAGCGUUGUCCGGAAUUACUGGGCGUAAAGAGCUCGUAGGCGGUUUGUCGCGUCGUCCGUGAAAACUCACAGCUCAACUGUGAGCGUGCGGGCGAUACGGGCAGACUGGAGUACUGCAGGGGAGACUGGAAUUCCUGGUGUAGCGGUGGAAUGCGCAGAUAUCAGGAGGAACACCGAUGGCGAAGGCAGGUCUCUGGGCCGAUACUGACGCUGAGGAGCGAAAGCGUGGGGAGCGAACAGG